rnacentral:lncRNA from 1 species
UUUUUUUUUUUUUUUUUUUUGGUUUUUCGAGACAGGGUUUCUCUGUAUAGCCCUGGCUGUCCUGGAACUCACUUUGUAGAUCAGGCUGGCCUAGAACUCAGAAAUCUGCCUGCCUCUGCCUCCCGAGUGCUGGGAUUAAAGGCGGGCAUCUUUUCUUGACAGCUCGCCCCCACAUUUUCCCCUUCCAACCCAACCCAAAAGCUAAAGAUGCAGGAUUCACACAAAUGGCCUAGGAGAGCUCACACCAAGGUCUGCGUGAUGUUUAACGACAACGAAGAAAGUACUAGAACUUGAACUUUUCUUUCUGGAGUGGGUCUCUUCUUCUCUCAAAGUGUGCAUUUCCACCCUUGUGCUGGUGCAACUAGAAGACAAGCAGACUGCCUGCCUUGGGAAGGUGAUGCAGGAGGAUGGAGCCACUGGUCCAAGGUUAGAGGAGCUGGGUCUCAUUUAACUGCAGUUGUAGCUUCUAUGGCACUGCUGCCAGGCACCAAUGGCCACAUGUUUUCAUUCUCUUCCAUUUCAGAUGGGCACCAUCCUGUCCCUGUUUAUGGAGGAGGACUGUUGAUACUCAGCCUAUAGCCCUGGCUUUCCAGGACCUUACCAUGUAGACCAGGCUGGCCUCCAGCUCACAAAGAUCCAUCUGUUUCUACCUUCCAAGGCCCGGGAUUAAAGUUGUGCACCACCAUACCUGGCCUGGAUUCAACCACCUCAUUUCUUCCCAACCCCCUCCCCAUUUUUUCUGAGACAUCAUUUCAUUAUGUUGCCCUACACUGACCCAAACUCCUAGGCCUGACCGCUCCUGUCUCAGCUGACAACUGGCACAUGGCAAUACUCCCAGCUUUACAAAUCUUGUUUUGACUCGAGCAGAUCUUUCAAGGAGGAUUUGUGAGGAGUCAGGUGAUGACUUGAGUUCAGUUCAUGUGAGUGCCAUUUACAAAGCUAAAUGGAAAUGUUUGUGAGUAGCAGGAUGGGCGUCUGGGGGUUAUAAUGUAGGCACUAUAGAAUGCCAUCUUAGCCAAGACAAGACAACUGGCCAAAGACCCCUCCCAGUGGAGGAGGCUAUGAAAUCUUGGCCUCUGGAUGCUAGAUUUAUCCCUGACACCCAUUCUGUCCCUCCUACACAGUUUUAUUUUUGUCCCAGGCUUUUCUCAAUGAUCCUAUUUUCAACUUGAAGAGAUGACUGGGCCUCUGGCUGUUCAUACUCUUAGAGGGCUUGAGACUACCAGAUGAAACCUCUUCGUGGUAAGACAAGAACCCUCUGCCAGGCCCUUCCACAAACUCAGACAGGCCAGAGGAUUCACCAUUUUAGCUCCUCAAUUCCAUAUUGGACAUCUCCAAGAGUAGGGACCAGGCUAGCAGCAAUGAUGGAUGAUCAGGGGAAGAAAUGGUGACAGGGAUCCUAUCGGUUAUGCCAUGUAUGGAUGCUUCUCCAUGAGUGAUUUUCCAACAGAGACUCUGCUUGACUUCAGGGACAGGUAAGGGUACCCAGGAAAUACACAGAACUUUGCCAUCCUUUGAUGCUUUCUGAGAUAGGCUGGCUUCUCACUGUCUUGAAAACACAAGUGUUUUCUAUGCUUAAGCAAUCUUAGCUGAAUUUGGGACAAAUCAAGGCCAGAACAUAGUGGGUGUUUAAGGGACCUCACGAUGAAUGAUUUUUUUUUUUAAAGAUAGAGCCUACUGCUGUAACAAAGGCUAUAUUGGAGCUCACUUCAUAACCUAAAACUUACAGUGAUUCUCCUGCCUUGGCAUCCCUAGUGCUGGGAUUAAAGGCAUGAGCCACAUAGCAUGACCAACUGAUAAGUGGGGUUUGUGUUCCAGAGUAUCAUAGGCUCUUUGGAGGGACCUGAAGCUAGGAAUUGUGUCCAGACAACUAUCCCAGUCAUUGUCUGUGGCCGCCAUCAUGGAGCAAUUGACAGACCUGCUCCCUUUUCUGAAUCCACUAAGUCCUGAAGGAGACUUGCCAGUGUCUUCUUGGAACUUUCAUGCUGGAUUGAUUAGUUCUUUCAGGGGGUGCAUUAUCCUGACCUCGGAAAGAAUGCCAUCUUAGAGUCAAAUAGUACUCAGAAGGAAAGUCCACUGACGAUGCAUAGCCUUUGCUGCUGCUUUAGUCACACCUACUAAACAGGGAGCUUUCUGGUUAAGGAUCUUCCAGAUGCUGAAGAGGAAAGCUUAUUUUAGCUCACAGUCUUGGAGAUUUCAAUUCAUAACCAACUGACUUCCUUGCUUUAGGCCUAUGAUAGCACAGACCACCAUCUAAAAGAGUGCAUGUCAGAUGAGACCUGUCACUCCCGUGGUCAGCUACAAAGGGUGAGAAAAGGGUCAGGUUACCAAUACCCCGUUCAUGAGCUCACACCCUAUGAUUAACUAGGCUCCACCUAUUAAAGGUCCAUUACUUCCCAAUACUGCUGCUGUCUGAAGACCUCUACUACACAGACCUAUGAGGUAGACUUACCUAAAUGUAGCAAAGUUCUAAGUAAGAGACAGGAUCUUGACCAGGUCCUUACAGAUAAUCCUUCCUAAGGAGUAGGAUCAAGUGCCAGCAGGCUGCCUGCAGAUCCUGGAAGUCCUUGUACUCUUAGCAUUUGCCUUGCUUUCUCAGAGGCCAGGCCAUGGAUUAAGGCCACCAGGACUGAAAGGCAGGCUUCCCUGGCUUCUGCAACCCUUUCUCUCUCAGCUACAUGACCAUCAUUGCUCUGGAAUACAAAGAACCUGUGGGUUCUAAGGAGCUGCAAACUUGCAAACGUAUCUGCCCCACCGGAUCCUUUAUAAGAUGACUCCAGAGAGCAUCCUGUAGUGAUCUAAGUGCUCAGACUCCUUUCCUACAAACCUGUGGAGUAUCAGGGGUCUUGGUAGUGUUAGAAGGUACCACAGAAGGACAUGAGUGGUGGAUAUCACAUGUGUUAAGCCAGGUGGACUUGAGUUCUAACCCCUGUUUCAACCACUUACCAUCUAUCUGUAUGGCAUUUGUGGUGGUUUAAAUACGAAUGGCCCCGUAGACUCAUAUAUUAGAAUUCUUAGUUAUCAGGGAGGGUCACCAUUUGAAUGGAUUAGAAGGAUUAGGAAGUGUAACCUUGUUGGGGGAAGCAUGUCAGCUGGGGGUGGACUUGGAAGUUUCAAACGCCCAUGCCAUGUCUAGGCUCAUUCUCUCUGCCUGCAGACAAGGAUGUAGCUCUCAACUACUCCAGGGCCCUGCCUGCCAUGCCUUCAACCAUGCUUCCUGCUGUGAUGAUAAUGGACUAAGCUUCUAAAACUGUAAGCAAGCCUCCAAUUAAAUGUUUUAUAUG